AAACGUUGAGAAAAGGAGUAUUUUAAAGAGCAUUUGCAUAUUCUAAAUAUUUUUUUAAUUAUUGAUUGAAUAAUAAUAAUCACAUUACUUUUGCAAAAAUUUUGCCAAUCAAAGUCUAUGUAAGGCUUAAGAAUAUGAACACACUCUUUCUGUUUAGUUUCAAAAAAAAAAAAGAAUAUGAACACUCAUUUUUGGUAUAAAAUGAAUACUCAUUUUUAUAAAAAUUUGGUAUAAAAUUUAACAUUUACACUAAAAAAAUGUAUACUCAUUUUUAGCAAAAAAAAAAUUAAAACUCAUUUUCAGUUUGGACGAUGCACGCACACGCACGGCUUCAGAUUUGUACUUGUAAAAGUCGUAACUGUGAAGUAAGAAGACUAAUGUGGAGCCCUCCUCGAUCGAAAUCUCUUGCGGAGCUUCGCUUUUUCCUUCUAUUAUUCAUGAGAAUUUGCACGUUGCCGGGGUCGUCCAUGCAAGCGAUUGCGUCACCUUUUUUUGGUAUUUUUUAUUUGUCGGCGAGUAGAAUUGUUAACAAUUUGGUGUUUAACGAAUGACCAAAAAAAUUAACAGAAUUUCAAGACCUCAUAUU
rnacentral:lncRNA from 1 species